GGUGAUAUGAACCGUUAUAACCGGCGAUUUCCGAAUGGGGAAACCCAGUGUGUUUCGACACACUAUCAUUAACUGAAUCCAUAGGUUAAUGAGGCGAACCGGGGGAACUGAAACAUCUAAGUACCCCGAGGAAAAGAAAUCAACCGAGAUUCCCCCAGUAGCGGCGAGCGAACGGGGAGCAGCCCAGAGCCUGAAUCAGUAUGUGUGUUAGUGGAAGCGUCUGGAAAGGCGCGCGAUACAGGGUGACAGCCCCGUACACAAAAAUGCACAUGCUGUGAGCUCGAUGAGUAGGGCGGGACACGUGGUAUCCUGUCUGAAUAUGGGGGGACCAUCCUCCAAGGCUAAAUACUCCUGACUGACCGAUAGUGAACCAGUACCGUGAGGGAAAGGCGAAAAGAACCCCGGCGAGGGGAGUGAAAAAGAACCUGAAACCGUGUACGUACAAGCAGUGGGAGCACGCUUAGGCGUGUGACUGCGUACCUUUUGUAUAAUGGGUCAGCGACUUAUAUUCUGUAGCAAGGUUAACCGAAUAGGGGAGCCGAAGGGAAACCGAGUCUUAACUGGGCGUUAAGUUGCAGGGUAUAGACCCGAAACCCGGUGAUCUAGCCAUGGGCAGGUUGAAGGUUGGGUAACACUAACUGGAGGACCGAACCGACUAAUGUUGAAAAAUUAGCGGAUGACUUGUGGCUGGGGGUGAAAGGCCAAUCAAACCGGGAGAUAGCUGGUUCUCCCCGAAAGCUAUUUAGGUAGCGCCUCGUGAAUUCAUCUCCGGGGGUAGAGCACUGUUUCGGCAAGGGGGUCAUCCCGACUUACCAACCCGAUGCAAACUGCGAAUACCGGAGAAUGUUAUCACGGGAGACACACGGCGGGUGCUAACGUCCGUCGUGAAGAGGGAAACAACCCAGACCGCCAGCUAAGGUCCCAAAGUCAUGGUUAAGUGGGAAACGAUGUGGGAAGGCCCAGACAGCCAGGAUGUUGGCUUAGAAGCAGCCAUCAUUUAAAGAAAGCGUAAUAGCUCACUGGUCGAGUCGGCCUGCGCGGAAGAUGUAACGGGGCU
rnacentral:rRNA from 1 species